rnacentral:rRNA from 1 species
AGCGAACGCUGGCGGCAGGCUUAACACAUGCAAGUCGAGCGGGCGUAGCAAUACGUCAGCGGCAGACGGGUGAGUAACGCGUGGGAACGUACCUUUUGGUUCGGAACAACACAGGGAAACUUGUGCUAAUACCGGAUAAGCCCUUACGGGGAAAGAUUUAUCGCCGAAAGAUCGGCCCGCGUCUGAUUAGCUAGUUGGUGAGGUAACGGCUCACCAAGGCGACGAUCAGUAGCUGGUCUGAGAGGAUGAUCAGCCACAUUGGGACUGAGGCACGGCCCAAACUCCUACGGGAGGCAGCAGUGGGGAAUAUUGGACAAUGGGCGCAAGCCUGAUCCAGCCAUGCCGCGUGAGUGAUGAAGGCCCUAGGGUUGUAAAGCUCUUUUGUGCGGGAAGAUAAUGACGGUACCGCAAGAAUAAGCCCCGGCUAACUUCGUGCCAGCCGCCGCAGUAA